rnacentral:rRNA from 1 species
AUGAACGCUGGCGGCGUGCCUAAUACAUGCAAGUCGAGCGCACAGACGAGGAGCUUGCUCCUCUGACGUUAGCGGCGGACGGGUGAGUAACACGUGGAUAACCUACCUAUAAGACUGGGAUAACUUCGGGAAACCGGAGCUAAUACCGGACAAUAUAUUGAACCGCAUGGUUCAAUAGUGAAAGACGGUUUUGCUGUCACUUAUAGAUGGAUCCGCGCCGCAUUAGCUAGUUGGUAAGGUAACGGCUUACCAAGGCAACGAUGCGUAGCCGACCUGAGAGGGUGAUCGGCCACACUGGAACUGAGACACGGUCCAGACUCCUACGGGAGGCAGCAGUAGGGAAUCUUCCGCAAUGGGCGAAAGCCUGACGGAGCAACGCCGCGUGAGUGAUGAAGGUCUUCGGAUCGUAAAACUCUGUUAUUAGGGAAGAACAAAUGUGUAAGUAACUAUGCACGUCUUGACGGUACCUAAUCAGAAAGCCACGGCUAACUACGUG